rnacentral:misc_RNA from 1 species
AAGAGUAACGGGGGCUUCGGCCUACCAACUCCACCCUUUGUUUACAAUACCAUUGUUGCUUUGGCAGGCCCGUCGUAAGACGACCGGCUUCGGCUGGCCAGCGUCUGCCAGAGGACCUAAAACUCUGUUUAAUUGUAUUGUCUGAGUACUAUAUAAUAGUUA